GACGAACGCUUGCGGCGUGCUUAACACAUGCAAGUCGAACGGAAAGGCCCUGCUUUUGUGGGGUGCUCGAGUGGCGAACGGGUGAGUAACACGUGAGUAACCUGCCCUUGACUUUGGGAUAACUUCAGGAAACUGGGGCUAAUACCGGAUAGGAGCUCCUGCUGCAUGGUGGGGGUUGGAAAGUUUCGGCGGUUGGGGAUGGACUCGCGGCUUAUCAGCUUGUUGGUGGGGUAGUGGCUUACCAAGGCUUUGACGGGUAGCCGGCCUGAGAGGGUGACCGGCCACAUUGGGACUGAGAUACGGCCCAGACUCCUACGGGAGGCAGCAGUGGGGAAUAUUGCACAAUGGGCGGAAGCCUGAUGCAGCAACGCCGCGUGCGGGAUGACGGCCUUCGGGUUGUAAACCGCUUUCGCCUGUGACGAAGCGUGAGUGACGGUAAUGGGUAAAGAAGCACCGGCUAACUACGUGCCUGCAGCCGCGGUGAUACGUAGGGUGCGAGCGUUGUCCGGAUUUAUUGGGCGUAAAGGGCUCGUAGGUGGUUGAUCGCGUCGGAAGUGUAAUCUUGGGGCUUAACCCUGAGCGUGCUUUCGAUACGGGUUGACUUGAGGAAGGUAGGGGAGAAUGGAAUUCCUGGUGGAGCGGUGGAAUGCGCAGAUAUCAGGAGGAACACCAGUGGCGAAGGCGGUUCUCUGGGCCUUUCCUGACGCUGAGGAGCGAAAGCGUGGGGAGCGAACAGGCUUAGAUACCCUGGUAGUCCACGCUGUAAACGGUGGGUACUAGGUGUGGGGUCCAUUCCACGGGUUCCGUGCCGUAGCUAACGCUUUAAGUACCCCGCCUGGGGAGUACGGCCGCAAGGCUAAAACUCAAAGGAAUUGACGGGGCCCCGCACAAGCGGCGGAGCAUGCGGAUUAAUUCGAUGCAACGCGUAGAACCUUACCUGGGUUUGACAUGGAUCGGGAGUGCUCAGAGAUGGGUGUGCCUCUUUUGGGGUCGGUUCACAGGUGGUGCAUGGCUGUCGUCAGCUCGUGUCGUGAGAUGUUGGGUUAAGUCCCGCAACGAGCGCAACCCUUGUUCACUGUUGCCAGCACGUUAUGGUGGGGACUCAGUGGAGACCGCCGGGGUCAACUCGGAGGAAGGUGGGGAUGACGUCAAGUCAUCAUGCCCCUUAUGUCCAGGGCUUCACGCAUGCUACAAUGGCUGGUACAGAGAGUGGCGAGCCUGUGAGGGUGAGCGAAUCUCGGAAAGCCGGUCUCAGUUCGGAUUGGGGUCUGCAACUCGACCUCAUGAAGUCGGAGUCGCUAGUAAUCGCAGAUCAGCAACGCUGCGGUGAAUACGUUCCCGGGGCU
rnacentral:rRNA from 1 species